rnacentral:rRNA from 1 species
CGUGUAGGCGGAUUGGCCAGUCAGGGGUGAAAACCGGAGGCUUAACCUUCGGCCUGCCUUUGAAACUGCCAAUCUUGAGUACGGGAGAGGAAAGCGGAAUUCCAGGUGUAGCGGUGACAUGCGUAGAUAUCUGGAAGAACAUCGGUGGCGAAGGCGGCUUUCUGGACCGAUACUGACGCUGAGGCGCGAAAGCCAGGGGGAGCAAACA